rnacentral:rRNA from 1 species
UACAGAGGUCUCAACCGUUGUUCGGAUUCAUUGGGCGUAGAGGGUGCGUAGGCGGUCGCGCAAGUCGGAUGUGAAAUCUCAGGGCUCAACCCUGAAACUGCAUUCGAUACUGCGUGGCUAGAGUGCUGGAGAGGAGACUGGAAUUUACGGUGUAGCAGUGAAAUGCGUAGAUAUCGUAAGGAAGACCAGUGGCGAAGGCGAGUCUCUGGACAGCAACUGACGCUGAGGCACGAAGGCCAGGGGAGCAAACGGG